rnacentral:rRNA from 1 species
UGCAAGUCGCACGAGAAAGUGGAGCAAUCCAUGAGUACAGUGGCGACCGGGUGAGUAACACGUGACCAACCUGCCCUCGAGUGGGGAACAACAGCGGGAAACCGCUGCUAAUACCGCAUAACAUCCUUGAGUCGGAAGACUUGGGGAUCAAAGGAGCAAUUCGCUUGAGGAGGGGGUCGCGGCUAAUUAGCUAGUUGGCGGGGUAAUGGCCCACCAAGGCAAAGAUCGGUAUCCGGCCUGAGAGGGCGCACGGCCACACUGGCACUGAAACACGGGCCAGACUCCUACGGGAGGCAGCAGUGGGGAAUUUUGCACAAUGCCCGAAAGGGUGAUGCAGCAACGCCGCGUGAGGGAUGAAGGCCUUCGGGUCGUANACCUCUUUCGACCGGGAAAAAUGGACGCGCGAAGAGCGCGCUCUGAUGGUACUGGUGGAAGAAGCCCCCGGCCACUACGUG